rnacentral:lncRNA from 1 species
CCUUUGCACUACUCUCUACAAAGUGUGUGCUAGAGUUUUGGUCAGGCUACUGAAGCCGAUCAUCUCUCAUCUAAUCAGUCUUAAGCAGAGAGCCUUUGUUAGUGGCUAGUGCAUCUUUGACAAUGUCCUAUUGGCCCGCAAGUUUAUGUAUGAUCUAUAGAGAGCUCCUAGCUGAUGAAGUCUUAUGGCACUCAAAUUGGACAUGGGGUGGGCAUAUAAUCGAAUGAGCUGGUGAUUCUUGUGGUAGAC